UACGAAGGGGGCUAGCGUUGUUCGGAAUCACUGGGCGUAAAGGGCGCGUAGGCGGCUUUGUAAGUUAGAGGUGAAAGCCCAGGGCUUAACCCUGGAAUUGCCUUUAAGACUGCAUCGCUAGAAUCGUGGAGAGGUGAGUGGAAUUCCGAGUGUAGAGGUGAAAUUCGUAGAGAUCGGGAGGAACACCAGUGGCGAAGGCGCCUAUCUGGCUGACAACUGACGCUGAGACUCGAAAGCAUGGGGGAGCAAACAGGG
rnacentral:rRNA from 1 species